rnacentral:sRNA from 1 species
UUGUGUCAUAAGGAGCUUCCAAAGAUGAUGCUGAGUUGAUUUCCUCUUGGCCAUCUGCUGGGCAUUCAAGUUUGUUUCCCCAGUGAGACUCCCUUGGAGAAAACUACAUUUUUAUUGCACAUGGUUACCACUUGGAGAUAGCUUCUGCAGCAGGGGCCGUCUGCCCACAUCUCCUUUUCCUUCUAAGACCCCCAUCUGCUGCAGACCCUGCAGGCCCUGUGUUUGUUACCUCAGUCUCUCUCUGUGAGUUCACAGGCAUGUAGGUUCUACUGUGUUAGAAGACUCUGUCUCCCCUGUUAUCAGUGGGGGAUCCAUGGAUAAACCUCAGGUUGCCAGGCCCGGUGGCAAGCUCCUUCAAUCAAUGAGCUAUCACACUUUCAGGCUCUUAUGGAGCUAGCCACGUAUUAGCGAGACCAGGUCCUAAAGAAUCAACACCCAGGUCCUCUCCACCAUCUCUCCAAGCUCCUGUUUCCUGUUUUUAAGGAACAAAUUAAAUUGUUCAGGUAACUGGUUGUCCAUGCCAACUUGUGCUUUUGAAAACAUCUUAGGUACAGAACUGUCUGAGUCAAGUAGACCAAUCUGCUGUAUAAUAUGUCUGAUCGAUUUAUUUGGUCUUGGAAAUGUAAUCAAAUAAUCGACUCUUCAUUCCCCUGGACUGUCUGGACUAACUUCUUCAUUGCAUGUAACCAUCACUAAGUGAGCCCCUGUGUCAUUCUAUAAAGGCAAACCUUGAUAACAAUAGUAUUUUCUACUUUCCACACACCGUGCCUUUUUCUAAGUGACUUCGUGAUUUUUAACAUUUGACCUUGAGAGCUUGUUAAUCUAGCAGUCGCAGUAGCUAACCCCACUUCAAUCAGGCAUCUAGUCUGUAUGAGUCUUAACCACUUUUUAUACUGCCACUCCAGACUUCUGCUUUAGUAGAAGAUAUCUGGUCAGAACUGGACUGGCAAACACAGCCCAAGUUAUGACUUACUGGAUAGACAGUAUUGUUAACACAAAGUCUAGCUUUCUCACCCCGAAAGCAAACACUAAUGAAUGAAAAUAUUCUAUAAUAAAAUCUCCUUUACAGAAAGCAAAAAGUUCAAGGUCAAAGGACAUUGUUUUCUUUGGCUGUUCCAAGUCUGUGUUUCUAGGAGGUGUCAACACUCAUUUGCCUACGUGUCUGGUUACCUUAUGUUUCUUUUGCAGAGUCUUCUUUAACCUGCCACAUAGAUGUAUGCUAAGACUUUAAGAUUUUCUUCUCACUUACAUAGUUCCCUUGUUCCCACAGUUCCUGCUGUAGCCUACCAGGGAAAUCCCAAGUGUUAACUUCCCAUCUCACUUUUAAGUACAGGAGACAUUAUAAGACAAUCAGCUGUGGCCUUGAAAGUCAUCUCAGGUGACCAAACUAUAUUCAGCACCUACCACCACAGCAACAUUCUCCUUGUUCUGCCUUGUGGUAGAAAAGGGGUAACCUUAGCAACACUGGUUCCAAGUCUCAAGUCUCUUUGAGGGGAGAUUUAUUUGCAAUGAUUCUAUAGAGAGGUAGGGCAUGUAGUCUCAAUCUGUCCCAUCAUGAUUAUCACAGCUCUGGCUUCUAACUGCCAUCCAGCAAGUUCACAACAUUCAGCCCCACAGGAGUGGUCUAUUUUUCUUUACGUUUUGUUGCCUUUCACCGGGUGCAGUUUCAAUAGUUGCAUUACUGUGAACUGUGUCUGCCCUGUAUUGAACCAUUAUGCAUAGAACUUUCCAGCAACAUGAAAGUUAGCCAGUAGCAAUAAGGUAGGUAUCAGCUUGAUGUCUCCAUGUUGUAUGACUUAAGUAUGGGGAGUCUUCGACAAUAGGGUCUUAUUAUCAAGUUUUGGAAGGUUUUAAGAACAAUAGCCAUAGCCUGUAAUGUUUGAGAGGGAGUCCUACAAGAACCCAUGGAACAACAGCUCCAAAAGAAAGGUAGCCAUACUUGGCACUGAAUUUUUACUCUACAGUCUAAGGUGUCUAGAAGAUGUAUUGUGUCCCAAUUCAAACUUCUAUGGUAUACGCAUAGGAAUAUAUUUCAGGAAGCUUCUACAGUAGGUUUCCAUAUGGCUUCAGUAUAGCAGUUCUUCCUCAAGUUACCUCCUCUACCAUAUUCCCUUAGCCCUCACAGUAUGUAACCCUUCCUGUUUCAUUAUUUUCUUUUAUUCCUUUCUACUCCCUGCACUCCACAUACACUCUCUUGAAAUCUCCCACAAGGUCCCUUACUAUUUUCCUGCCUUUGAUGGGUAAUCAAACUUAAACGCAUGACUUUAAAGAUUCAAAGCUGGCAUAUGAGAGAAAAUAUGGGGCAUUUGAUUUAUGGGUCUGGAUUACCUCACUCAGUAUACUGCGCUCCAGCUCUAUCCAGUUACUUGAGAACUCAUUUGUAUUUACAGCUAAAUACAUGUACCAUAGUUUCAUUUACAUACUAACCCUCUGUCAUAUGUAUAGUUAGUAACGAUUUUUUUUUCUCAUUCCACAAAGUGACCUGCUCCUCAAACGAUGGUAUGCUCUGCUAUAUAGAAGCUUUAUAGUUUCAUGAAACCCUACUCUUUGUUUAUUUUAAUGUCUAUAUUACCAGGUCCUGUUAAGAAAAUCCUUUCUUUUGCCUAUAAUUUGAAUUGCCUCCUCUGUAAGUUCAAGGUGCCAGGUCUUAUGUGGAUGCCUCAGAUUGUAUUUAGUACAUAUCAGAAUCCCAGAAACAUUGGCUCUGAUGCCAGUGAAGGAAUGGACUUGCUAGCGAGAGCAAGCAGGCAAAGAACAAAAGCUUCCCUUCUUCCCGUGUUCCAGAUUAAAUGGAGGUCUUUCCACCUCAAAAUAUCUGAAUUAAUUAGUGGUGUAUUUUCUAACCUCAAAAGAUUUGGUUUAAAAGUGGGUCUUCACACUCCAAAUAAUUUAAUUAAGAAAAACAUUCCUUACAGGUGAACCCAGCCAAUGGAUUUUUAGUUAAUUUCAGGUGUAGUAAAGACGACAACCAAGAACAGCCAUCACGAGUUCACUCUUUAUCACCUUGACAUACAAUCAACCGUAGCUCCUUUUGUUGUUUAAUUUCCAAAUUGAAAAAAAAAAAGUCAGGCUGUAAGUAUAUCUACCACGAUAGAACUAUUUUACACAUAAUCACAAAUGCAUUGUAUAUAAGAUCACAAUUUUUCCUAACAUUCUAUAACUAUCCUUUAUACAACUGCAAACACAUAAAUUUUAGAAUAGGAGGCAAUGUCCCUUAAGGGAUAGCCUUUUGGUAUUUUAAAACUUAAAUAAGAUAACUACUGAUAUUCUUAUGAUAGAUGUUACUUUAUAUGAUAAAGAAAUUGAGGAAAGAACUUGUUCUGAACACAAUAUGACUGAAAAACUCAUGUUAACUAUAAUCUUUAAUCCUACAACUGGUCAUGGCCUCAGUUGGUAUUAAUAACUACUUUCCUCUACUCACCAUUCUGCACUUUUUCACCCUUUACAAGCACCUCAGCAAGUCUUAGUUCUUUUCCUGGAGGAGUGAGCAACACUUUCUCCCCUGAAGGGUCUGUGUCUUUUGUCAUCUUGCAUGGAUUAGGUUGUCGUAGCUUCCAAUUGACUUAAUCACAGGACAUGGUAGUACCAAGAAAGUCUCAGUUGGAUCUCUUGCACUUCAGACAUGAUCUUUUACAGGUUUUUGGAGAAGCAACCCAAUUUUCCCUUCGUAAUCUAGAUCAAGCACCCUUCCUAACACUCUGAUUCCUUUCUUAGCCUGUUGGUUUAAGGGCACCAGAAAGCCAAAGUGGUCAGGGGGAAGAAAUUCUGAGCUUCUAGUUCAGUGGGAUGCUUUGUGUGUCUCCUGGUAAAAGCACCCAUGUCUCUGGAAACAAAAUUUCUAGAACAGCAGAACUUCAGAUCACAGAAACAGGAAACAGAAACUUUCCUAGUAGAUCAUAAGGAAUGAUAGCAAGGGAAUUAUUGCCUUUCUACCGCUUAAUGCUGGACCCCUGGAUCCUGGACAUGGGAGAAACCAUACUAUAUAUUGAAUGCUGAUUGAAAAUACACACUUCUGAAGAACCCUGCCCCAGUCCUCUAGGCGCUGGCAUCUAAUUAGCUCUGUAACGGUAUCUCGAAAAGGCCAGUCCAUCUUUCUAUGAAGCGAGCUGCCUCAGGAUUGUGAGGAACAAAGACCAAUGGAUUUCAUAAUCACGGACCCACUGUUGCACUUCUCUGGCUGUGAAUGAGUCCCUUUGCUAAAAGAAAUAAAAUGUAGAGUACCAUAACAGCAAAUAAGGUGUUCUCUGAAUACACCAAUGGGAGUUUCGACAGAACCAUUAUGUGUAGGAAAGGCAAAUCCAUAUCCAGAAUAAGUAUCUACUGUAGGACAGUCAAUGUAGUUAACCUGACACCAGGUCACUGGAUGAUCCACCGUGGGGAAUGGGGUCAUAUAUGGAGCUUAGUAUUAGUCUCCACUGCUGGAAGAUCUGGCACUUAGUAGCAGUGAUAGCCAGGUCAGACUAUCACUACUGGUGAAUGACAGUCCCUGUUGUCGUGUUUAUGUGUCCAUUGGGCAAUGAUAGGUAUAUCUGAAGGAAGAAGCUGUCUGUCCAUAGCCUGAGUCAUGCUAUCUAUUUGAUUACUGAACUCCUCCUCAGGUGAGUCACCUUUUGAUGAGCAUGUACAUGGGACACGAGUGCCUUCCAAUUCCUUGCCCACUUGGAGAGAUCUACCUGCAUACUUCUUCUCCAGAUGUCUUUCUCACCUAUUUUCCAAGUCCCUGACCAUCUAGGCUACUGCCCAUGAGUCAGUGAAAAAUUGCACAUCUGGCAAUUUCUCAUUCUAAACAAAAUGUAUGUGCAUGUAUACUGCCAGAUGUUUUGCCCACUGUGAAGAUUUCCCUCCACUGUUUUAUUUCAGGGUUGUCACAGAAAGCAGACGUAAUGUUAUAGCUAUGCACUCUAGGUUGGUGCCCAAAUAGCAUGCAGAGUCACCAGUAAGCUGUGCCCCAGUCUUCUCUUCCUUAGUCAAAUAAUCAUAGGGUACACCCCAUGAGGCUAUAGGUACAUAUGUGCCUGCAGAUGGCAUUGUAAUAGGAGUAGAAACCAUAGGCCUUUGGACAACAUCUUUAUGUAACUUGCUUGUGUUUUCAGGACCUGAUUGGCUCAAUCAUGUAUAUACUGCACCUACUUGAUAAUAGAUUGCUAUUGUAUACAUCUUACUUUAUGGCUUGGUGGGUUAAAUAAUACCUAGAGCUCAUGGUGGACAGCUUAGAUUGGCCCAUUGUCAAACAUGCAGUUUCCACCAAGGCCUGAUAGCAGGCCAAUAACUGUCUCUCAAAGGGAGAAUAGUUGUUUGCAGAUGAUGGUAGAGCUCUGGUCCAAAAUCACAAUGUCUCUUCUGUGAUUCACCUAUAGGGGCCAACCAAAGGCUCUAAAAAGCAUUCCUAUCUGCCAAUGCUACCGAGUACCAUUGGGACCAUCGAGUAUCAUAUGGUCCAAGUAGUAGAGCCGCCUGGACCUGUUGAAGAACACUCAAAGCUAGCAGCUAUCUGAGUCACUUAGAAUAUGGUCCAGAGUAACACAGUCGAGUGAGAAAGCGCUGUCUCCAUAAGCCAAACAGUCCCACUAAACAUUGUCCUUUCUUGUUGGUGGGAGAGGUCAGUUGCAAUAACUCAUUCUUUACCCCAUACCACUGGACUCCUAAGAAUUUUCACUGAGGAAGGAGGCCCUUGAAUUUUGGCUGGAUUUAUUUCCUAUCCUCAUGUGCAUGUGUACCAACAAGUCCAAGGUGUCCAAAGGUGGUACCCAGCGCCCGCUCACUAGUUCCAAUUAGCAUAAUAUCAUCAACAUGGUAGGCCACUGUUAUAUUUUGUGGAAAAGACAAUCAAUAAGUUAUCACACAGGGCUGGAAAGUAAAUAUAUUUUUAAGGCAAAACUAUAAAAGCCUACUGCUGGCCUUCCUAACUGAAAGGACAUAUGCAGCUAUACUUGUACCUAUAGUCCCAUGGGCCAUGUCCUAUAAUUAGUUGACUAAGGAAGAGAUGUGCUAAUUUGCUUAAGUAAGGGCCACACAUCUGGUACAGCAGCUGCAACUGGGGUCUUACCUGAUUGACUUUUCGAUAGUAAAGGUACUAGGUUUUAUACUGAGGUCCUUUAUCCACUGAUGUCAGUUUCUUGCAGGUAAGAGAUAAGGAUCUAGAGUUAUUCUUCUACAUACACCUGUCCAAUUUGGCCAGCACCAUUUGUUGAAGAGGCUGUCUCUUCUUCAAGCUAUAUUUUUGGUCUCUGUCAAACAUCGAGUGGCUAUAGGAACAUGGACUUAUAUCUGGUUCCUCAGCUUCAUUUUAUUGAUUAAUGUGUCUGUUUAUAUGCCAGUAUCAUACUGUUUUAUUACAACGUUCUGCAGAAUAACUUGAACUUGGGGUGUAUUUGUUAUUUAGAACUGCUUUGGCUCUCCUGGGUCUUUUGUAUUUCCACAUGCAUGUGAUGCAUUUGGAGAUUCUUUUUCUUUUCAUUCUUUCAUAUUCUCUCCCUCUCCCUCUCACUUUCCCUCUCUUACUCUCUUGAGAUAUGGUCUUACCAGGCUGACUUUGACCUUGCAUUCCCCUUACAUUAUAAGCAAGCACCACAAUGCUCUUUUCUGUGAAUGUUAGAUUGUGUGAAUGAAGUCUUUCUGGAAGACCAUCACAUCUUUGCCCACCUUGAUUACGUCUCCUGUAGUUUCUUUUGUGGAAGUCUCGUCAUUUACCUGCCCCAUCAAUACUUCCCAGGAUUUUGAUGUUUCCACUUUCUCAUCUGCACCAAUCUUCCCAGAACAAUGUCUACAUUAACACUAUCUUAACUCUAUGUUGUGAUGGGAAGUUGUCCCAUCUCUCCAUUAGACUGAACUCUGUGAUACUGAACAUGGUUCUGGUGUCAUCCCUUGGGCUUAAUGCAGAGUGAUCUGUUUUGGUGUGUGAAUACAUUGCUUGACGUUUUCUUCAUUGUUCUCCACUUUACUUUUAAGAAUAUAUUUAUUAUAUUUAAAUGUAUAUGUGUGUGCCCAUGUGCCACAUGAAUAUAGGAGUGUACAGACACAAGAGGAGAUCAUCAGAUCCCCUGAGACUGCAGUCAGAGGCAGUUGUGAGCUGCUUUGUGGGUGCUGAGAAUUGAACCCAGAUUCUCUGCAAGUGUAGCAAGCGCUCUGAACUGCCGGGCCACCUCUCCAGCCUCAUUCUCACCUUAGUUUUGGAGACAGAGUCUCUCAUUGAACUUGGAGCUCACACACUCAACUAUACCAGCUGACCAGGGAACCACAUGAAUCCUCCAGUUUCUGCCUGUCCAGUGCUGGAUAACGGGCCUGCUGCUGCACUUGGCUUUUACAUGGGUUCUGAGGAGAGAACGUGGGACCUCAUGCUUGUACACUGAGCACUUUCUAACUCAGCUAUGUCCUUGGUUACUUAGCCUUGUGUGUUCUUACUCAGAUACUCAAAAUACUCAAAAUACUCAAAAUAAUGAGUAUUAUUUUAAUCAUUAUGGUAAUAAGCUUAUUCUUAGUUAUGAGGAGCUAAUAGGAACGAGUAUCAUAAAAAACCCUUUCUAAAUUCUUUAAUGAUAAAUAUAUAUCUUCUAUCAAAACACAGUUCUAUAUUACAUUUGUAAUAAGUACUGUGUUCAAUAAUUCUCUUUCUUUUCUUUUUCUUUCUUUUUUUUUUUUCAGAGCUGGGACCGAACCCAGGGCCUUAUCCCCAACCCUUCAAUAAUUCUCUUAAACACUGCAAAAUCUAUUUUAGUAACAAGUACUCCUACCAUUCAGGACAAGGUGAUGUUCGAUUCUCAGAUAGAACAUGACCAAGCACAGAGGAUGGGAAUCACAGUUCCCAACACUCUUUUCUUCACAGCCCUCCGAGAAAUGUAAAGAUAACAUGGAGCUCAAAAUGAAUGGAUGUCCAUAAAUAUCUCACAGCAAUUUUAGUUUGAUCAUAUAGGUGCUCACAUAAAUAAAAUUCAGAAAGCAAAAUUCACUUUGCAAUGUAUUGUUAAACAGAGAUACUCAUUAGCAGGUGGUUUUUACAGGCUUUUUUAAGUGUAUGUCAAAGAUCAACUUUUAAAACAGCAAUUCAGUAAGAUAAAGCUUUUAGGAUAAAAUUAAAUCAAAUAUAUACAGUACACUGAGAACACUAUAGAUCUUUUAAAAGACAUUAACUCUCUGAUAGGUCGAGAGAACUCUCUUCCCUUUAGUGAAGACAGUAUAACAUUUGCAACAUUUUCUAAGCAUAUCAACAGAAAUCUAGACUGAAAAGGUUUCCUCCUUUUAGGUAGGCAGGGGAAAUGCUGGCUUGCAAAGGAAAAUGGCCACAAGGAUGGUUAAAGAUGGUUGCUCUGUGCCACCAGGGCAACAUACACAGACAAGCAUCUUCUCCUCUUGCUAUGAUGCUCCCCAUCGAAGGUAUUUGCCAAUAUGGCAGUCUUGCCCACAGAAUUUAGAACCACUUGUCCUCAUUUUUAUGUCUCAUUCAUUAGCAUGCAAAGAGUUGUAUGUUGAGUGUGGCCGAGCACUUACGUGUUGCCUGUCUUGUUUUAUUUAGGGACAAGUGCUCCUGGUCUCUGUCUUCUCACCUAAAAUUUUUCUGGACUGCAGAGAAAGCUUCCAAGACACAGAGCCAGUUACCUCUUGUGCCAUCCACCUUGUUGCACUAACACUAAAUGAUUGUGUGCUGCGGUACAGGCAAGCGCGGGGUGGUGGCUCUCCUGAAGAGAUCAGCCUGGAAGGCAUGUGAACUUGUCAAAGACUGGGUGGAGUGACAAGAACACAGACCCUGAGCAGCCAGCCCGCUCCCCUCCCAUAGCGUGCAUGGAUUUCGUAAGUCAUCUGUUAUAAUCCCAAGCUCCACAUUAAGUAUUAUUGGUCACACAUAAGGAUCUUACUCAACAUGCCUGAAGCGAAGGUAAGGCUAAGAAAUUGUUUAUUAAAAGCAUGCAAGCCAGCCUGAAUUUCUAUAGAACCAGUGUUGAUUACAUUUUACUCACUACGUUAUGAAAUCUUGUGUAUAAUUACAAAUUAUAAGCUAGCGCAGGAUCAUCUGACACCAGUUACAACAAGUUAACCAAAUUUUAUUCUUUUUAUUUUUCUAUUUGACAAUAAUGCCACUUGACUGUCGUUUUAAGAGGCUGUGCCUGCACAGCCUAGAGUGGUCUCUUGGGAUCAGAGAACUGGUUUUUGCUCCAUCCCCAUUCUCUGUAGAGAAAAGAAAAAUCCCACAGAUACUCGAGGUAUAAGAUAGAAACCAGUGAAAUAUUUGCAUUUAACCUCCACACAUCUUUUUGUACAGCCCAGAUAAGAUCUGUCCGCUUACGAUAUCUGAUACAAUGACAAUGCUUCCCACAACCGCUGAGGGAUGCUGACAAAAAAAGGUCCACAGAUGUUAAGUAAAACCCAAGGCUAGUGGAAUGCACAGAGCAGGCCCUGUAGAUACAGAGGGUUGGCUGUAAGUAAUCCACUGCUAAAGGGAUGAAUGGAUUUGUUACAUUUGGAGUUUGGAGCCGGAGUUUAGCAAGUUGUUAUUACUGCAGACUAGAGGUAGCAUGUUUGAAAGGAGAGCCUGCCAUAUGGAGGUCCCUAGGAUUACAACUCAGGACAAUUUCUUUGCAUUUGUCAUGUUCAACUGGCAAUCAACUGACUGACUGCUGUGCGCACAAGGACUAUUCAGAUCCUUUUUACUUACUGAUUCCAACACAAUAUAAUAAGUCAUUAUAGUGGUCUUAUAAUACUGGUUUUCUGGAUCGGAAAAAGUACAUAUAAAUCCCCAGGCUGCCAACAUUACAAGAUUUUCCUGGGUCCCCAGGUGUUACCUCAACCCUCCUCCCAAGGGAAGUCAUCAUUUUGGGGAUAACUUGCACAUUACAAGUCUAGGUCUAAAAUACAUCAGUCUCUAUCUACUACAAUGGAUAAACUAGAUCUACUUGGCUGCAUUCCUUGAUUUAGAUGCCCCAACAGAGUUAACUCCAGAAGACUUAAAUAUAUUUUGUACACAUUGAAAGAAUUCCAUAAAUAUCUCUUUCCUUACUAUAUAUUGAACACAAAUUUUAAAAAGACAGCAUAACAAGAUAAACUUGAAACAUGCCUAGAAAGGCUUGGCUGACAAAAUUGGGAGUGUCUAAUCUGGAGGUCAGGAGGUGCUUGACCAUUGGACCCAAUGACUGACAGUCAGUGACAGAAAAAGUAUUAUCAUUUGAGGGAUCCCCAUUUAUCUGGAAGCCCCAAACUGCACCAUAAUACUCGUCCGACUAUCGCACGCUGUAAGAGGACAGGACUCUGUCCUCAACUUCUACCCAGUGUCUUGCUGAAAAGCAAGCUGCUGGCAGAUGUUUCUAAGGAGAGGUAGAAAGUCUAGGGUUGGGGCAGCAGUGCUUGUGUGAAAAAGAUCCAGGGCACUGAGCAGAGAGAACAACACAGAGGAUGUGCAAGUGUGUGGAAAACAGCGGAGUAAUGACUGCUUCUAUGAGAGGUGGACAGGCAAGAGCUCUCUUUCAUUAGGAAACAUACUCUGUGUGGUGACGUAUGGGGUCACUCUGACCUUCAAAAUCUGUGGGGCCCUCUUGCUCAUAACUCAAGCUUGUUAAUUUAGCUUCAGCAGUCAAGGUUUAUGUUGCUUUGAAUCAUGGAGAAUAACUGACGUCUCUUCUACUUGCUUAGUACAUGUUAAAACCUGAAAGAUGAAAUCCAAUACUCCUGGGGAAAAUACGUUCUUUAAUCACACCUGAUUUGAAACCCUCCUCUCUGAUGUAUCACUUGGAUAAAUAGAAUAGGGGUGUGUCUGUGUGAAAAUGAGGCUAAUAUGUAUUCCAGAGAGCUCAAGGAGAAUAGGAAUAGCUCAACAUAUAAUGAUUCAUGGAAGAAAAUUCCUCCAUGUGUAUGGAUAGAAAAAUCGCCCGUUUAUUAACAAUUAGGGCAUGGACUCACCACACUUCCUGCUUGUGGGCUUUCAUGUCUUUACGCUCACUUAUUUGUCUUAAUGACUAAGAAUGUGAUUGAAAAACAGUCUAGGGGGCGGAGAGUGGACCUCGAUGGUCUAUCUGUUGGUAGCAUGUGCAUUGCUGUGAGUUUGAUUCUCAGAACCAUAGUAAAUCAAUAUACCACAAAAUUAACAGCAGUGCCCAAGAAAGAUGAGAACUUCUCAUGAGGAAGUGCACAAUCAAAGGAGAAGGAAGAACACAGAAUUAGGUAGAAAGCAGGGAAAAGCACAGAAGAAGAAACUAGAAACAGUAGAGCAGUGAACAACAUCUUCUGUUCCAGGCUGGGGAUAUUGGUCAGGAGGGGCCAACAGAGCCCUAAAUCAGUACAGGCUACUAACAUUUCUUCUGGUUGUUUCAUUAGAGUUGCUUCUCUCAGGACAUGCUACUUCUCCCAAAAGUCAUAGGCUGCCAAAUAUAAACUCCAGAGAUGGGUAUGGGACAUUUCUCCCUAACUUAUUGAUUAGGGGUAUCCCAGAGACACCCCCAAACAAUAAAAGCUAUUGUUCUUGGUUACUGAGUAAUACUUGCCUGUAAGCCUCAUUGCUCAAAUCAUCAUAUACUUUGGCCAUAGGGGAUGCAGAAAACAACUGGGUACUGACCAGAGAACUUACUUCUUGUUGACUAGCUCUCCCAGUACUAGAAGGUGUUGUUCAGGCUGCUGGGGUGGGGUGGAGUCACCAACAGUCUUACUCAGUUGUGAACCCUGUGAGCUAUAAUAGUGACCAGCAUGACAAAAUAUGCUCAUGGGUGAAACUGUGGAACAAAUUAAAUUCGUGAAUUUAUAGCAUGUUGCACCCGUUUGCAGCCCCUGUAGAUAGCGUGCAUGAUUAAUGCUUCUGGCCCAUGAUUUUGCAAACAGAAGUAGUAACAUGGGCUAAAGAAAUGGCCAAGAAGGCCAGUUGAAAUGAUUUUACAAUUUAAUCUGGGAAGUGGUUUGCCUUGAGUGGUUAUUUUGAUAUGAUGGAGAACACAUUUUACACAGUCACACAGGAAUCUAUUAUGUUUGAAGUUUCUCAUGAGAGAACCAUGCUGGAGUCUGGUCUCUGUCAAUGACAGGCACUUGACAGGACUUGUUGGUUUGUGGCCUGUUUCAGCAGAGAGGCUAUGACUGUCUCCCUGUUUCAUCUGCUUCUUCGAGUGUCACUGAAUUUAGUCACCAGCCACUUAGUAGGAAAGGCAGUGCUGGUGGGUCUUCUCUUGUUUUUUGUCCCUUGCUAGUGGCUCCCACUGAGUCUACUCAGAGAAAGCCCAGGGUUGCCAGCUUAGGGUCACACAGCACAAGAAACACAUUGUGGCCAAUGGUUUCAAUCAAUGCUUUCUAGAUGGGUGGGACAUAGGUAUACGGAAGGAUGAAUAGUUGAAUCGUGGCAAAAUUGUGAAUUAUUUAGGGAUCAAUUUCUUUUCUCUGUAAGUAUUGAAAAUCCCUUCCCUAUGUGACAACAACUACCAAGGAAAAUUACACAGGAUUUCCUGGGUAAUUUUGGAUGUAACUGGUUUUAAAAAUACCUUCAGAGCUGCUUUGCACAUAUACAUUUUGAGUUUUAAGUUAAUUUCUCUGCUAUUUAAGAAAAAGAGUGUUGCCAUGCAGUGGUGGUGCAUGCCUUUAGUCCCAGCACUUGCAAGGCAGGGGCAGGUAGAUCUCUGAGUUUGAGGCCAGCCUGGUCUACAGAGUGAAUUCCAGGACAACCAGGGCUGUACAGAAAAGCCCCAUCUUAAAAAACUAAAACUGAAAUAAAAUUAAGUGGAAGAAUAUUGAAAACAGAACACGUGUGGCCCAAGGAUGGUGGUGAAUUAGAUGUAAGCUUGAAGGAAGGGAAGAAUGUUGUUUGGCUUGCUGUUUGAAGUAUCCUGCGGAUAUUUUAAAACCUAAUAAAUUACAUAAUUAUUAAGUGGCUAAGCUGAUCACCAGAAAGAUGAUUAGCUCAUUCUGUCCACAGCGUUUUAAAAAAUGCACACAAGACAGAAGGAAUGAACCAAACUCAAAAUGUUGAGAAUGUCCGUCACACACUAAUGAGCCCAGGGUGAGCUGUUGUCAUUUCCCACAUUCCCCACCCCCCUGGUAAGAAGCCCACGGGAG